CGGCCAUCCAUGUAUAGGUGUUCUUCUGGGGUUUCUGUUACUGGAGUCACAGGUGCUUGUGAGCCCCACUACUGAGUAUGUGGUAGGAGUGGGACCCAUACCCUCUGCAAGAGCAGACAAUGGUCAUGUGAGACAAGGGUCUCACUCUGUAGACCAGGCUGGCUCUGAACUCACAGAGAUCCACCUGCCUCUGCCUCCUGAGUGCUGGAAUGAAGAGCGUGUUCCACAGUGCCCUGCUCAUCCUCCAGAUGCCGAGAUGACAAGGUGUCUACUAUCAUGCACGGCUUUCCCAGGCCGUUUGUAAAGAGCAAGUGUUCUGUUACCCCGCAAUGUGAGGACUCAAGUGGGAUCCUUUUGUGGCUCAGGCAGUAGAGGUAUAGCAUACAGGGAGUCCUGGACCACAUGCCCAGCACUUCAGAAACCCUAGUACGAUGGUUUGCCUGUCAUGGCAGCAUUCUGAGACACUAGAAGGUAAGGAGUUCAUGGCCAGCCUGGGCUACAUGGAGUUUGAGGCUGAGAGGCCAGACCUACUCUGUCUUGGGAACAGCCUCCUUCUUGGAAAAAAAAAAAAAAAA
rnacentral:lncRNA from 1 species